rnacentral:rRNA from 1 species
UACGAAGGGGGCUAGCGUUGCUCGGAAUCACUGGGCGUAAAGCGCACGUAGGCGGCUUUUUAAGUCAGAGGUGAAAUCCUGGAGCUCAACUCCAGAACUGCCUUUGAUACUGGAGAGCUUGAGUCCGGGAGAGGUGAGUGGAACUGCGAGUGUAGAGGUGAAAUUCGUAGAUAUUCGCAAGAACACCAGUGGCGAAGGCGGCUCACUGGCCCGGUACUGACGCUCAGGCGCGACAGCGUGGGGAGCAAACAGG